GACGAACGCUGGCGGCGUGCUUAACACAUGCAAGUCGAACGGAAAGGCCCUGCUUUUGUGGGGUGCUCGAGUGGCGAACGGGUGAGUAACACGUGAGUAACCUGCCCUUGACUUUGGGAUAACUUCAGGAAACUGGGGCUAAUACCUGAUAGGAGCUCCUGCUGCAUGGUGGGGUUUGGAAAGUUUCGUCGGUUGGGGAUGGACUCGCGGCUUAUCAGCUUGUUGGUGGGGUAGUGGCUUACCAAGGCUUUGACGGGUAGCCGGCCUGAGAGGGUGACCGGCCACAUUGGGACUGAGAUACGGACCAGACUCCUACGGGAGGCAGCAGUGGGGAAUAUUGCACAAUGGGCGGAAGCCUGAUGAAGAAACGCCGCGUGCGGAAUGACGGCCUUCGGGUUGUAAACCGCUUUAGCCUGUGACGAAGCGUGAGUGACGGUAAUGGGUAAAGAAGCACCGGCUAACUACGUG
rnacentral:rRNA from 1 species